ACUGGACACCUGCAACUGCCUACAGGACUGAAAGCAGGCGACGAAGACUGUGAAGUUUGACGGUCUGGAAAGCAGAGGCCAGCCGCGCUGACUAUCUGGGAGCACCGAGACUCCGGACAGCGCCGCUCGGAGUCCAGGAAGCGAGCCACAAGCUGUUUCAGCACCAGAGCUCCGGACAGCUCCUGGGGAUUUCGGGGCCGACUUCAUUUCAGAACCAAGACGCUGGAUAGCUUCCCUGACAAGCAGGUGAGAUAAAAGUGCAC